AGAGAUAAGAGUGCUCCCGGUAACCUUGUUAAAUUGAAGAAUGUAAUACCUUCCUUCAUCAAGAUAGCUUGACCGGCUCAUGCUGAAGGUGACUUUCUGUUUUGAUCCCUGCAGCAUAUCACAUCAUGAGCUGUUGCUAUAUUAACCUAAACAGGCGUACAUAAACCUUUGUGGACCCUGUGUGGAGCAGUGCUGC